UUUGGAUUCGACAGGGGUGGGUUGAGCUUAAGUUGCGAGUCGAGGGGGUCGGCCUCGUUAAAACGCCAACGCCUAUAACUGGCAAAACUAACAAUAACUUCGCAGUAGCAGCUUAAUAGCGCUUUGCGGUUCCACCCUCCAUCGCCCAUGUGGUAGGGACUGGGACUCACUCUAAGUGGGCUACGCCGGCUGUCCUCCGUCUGAGGACGAAGGAAGAGAUUAAUCAGACUAGCCUUACUGAAGCCUGUUACUGGGCCAACGUAAGUGCGAAAUGCUAAUACAGUAACUACACUCGUAGAAGCUUAAGUGUCGACAUUCUUGGACGUGGGUUCGAUCA
rnacentral:tmRNA from 1 species